UUGGAGGGCAAGUCUGGUGCCAGCAGCCGCGGUAAUUCCAGCUCCAAUAGCGUAUAUUAAAGUUGUUGCAGUUAAAAAGCUCGUAGUUGAAUUUCGGGGUCAGUAGGUUGGUCAUGCCACUGGUAUGUACUGGUCUCACUGAUUCCUCCUUCCUGAUGAACUGUAAUGCCAUUAAUUUGGUGUUGCAGGGAAUCUGGACUGUUACUUUGAAAAAAUUAGAGUGAUUAAAGCAGGCUAACGCCUGAAUACAUUAGCAUGGAAUAAUGAAAUAGGACGUUCGAUCCUAUUUUGUUGGUUUCUAGGAUUGACGUAAUGAUUAAUAGGGAUAGUUGGGGGCAUUAGUAUUCAAUUGUCAGAGGUGAAAUUCUUGGAUUUAUUGAAGACUAACUACUGCGAAAGCAUUUGCCAAGGAUGUUUUCAUUAAUCAAGAACGAAAGUUAGGGGAUCGAAGACGAUCAGAUACCGUCGUAGUCUUAACCAUAAACUAUGCCGACUAGGGAUCGGAUGAUGUUAAUUUUUUAAUGACUCAUUCGGCGCCUUACGGGAAACCAAAGUGUUUGGGUUC
rnacentral:rRNA from 1 species